rnacentral:rRNA from 1 species
UGCCUACAACGUAGAAUUAAUGCAUCGGAUCCCAUUAGAACUUUGUAAUUAAGCGUGCUCAAGCUAGAGUAGUACUGGGAUGGGUGACCACCCGGGAAGUCCUAGUAUUUUAGAUGC